GGGCCUGUAGCUCAAUGGCUAGAGCCGGCGGCUCAUAACCGCUUGGUUGGGGGUUCGAGUCCCUCCGGGCCCACCA
rnacentral:tRNA from 1 species